rnacentral:rRNA from 1 species
AACAAACGUUGGCGGCGUGCCUAAUACAUGCAAGUCGAACGGGGAAAGCUUUCGGGUGAGUACUAGUGGCGCACGGGUGAGGAACGCGUGGAUAAUCCGUCUUAGAGUGGGGGAUAACUAGUCGAAAGAUUAGCUAAUACCGCAUAAGACAUAAGGAGCUGCGGCUCAAGGGGUCAAAGGUUUUUCGCUCUAAGAUGAGUCCGCGUAAGAUUAGCUAGUUGGUGAGGUAACGGCUCACCAAGGCGACGAUCUUUAACUGGUCUGAGAGGAUGAUCAGGCACACUGGAACUGAGACACGGUCCAGACUCCUACGUGAGGCAGCAGUAGGGAAUAUUGCACAAUGGAGGAAACUCUGAUGCAGCGACGCCGCGUGAGUGAUAAAGGCCUUCGGGUCGUAAAGCUCUGUCGCAGGGGAAUAACACAAUGAAGGUACCCUGUAAGAAAGGAUCGGCUAACUUCGUGCCAGCCGCCGAGUAACAC